GUGCUCGCUGUGGCAGCACACAUACUAAAAUUGGAACAACACAGAGAAGAUUAGCAUGGUCCCUGCACAAGGAUGACAUGCAAAUUUGUGAAGUGUUGCACAUUUUU
ensembl:snRNA U6 U6 spliceosomal RNA